rnacentral:lncRNA from 1 species
CCUGUAAUCUCUGCUGUGGUAUUUGAGAAUAUUACUAUGCUGCAUGUGGACCUGCCUCAAGUACACAGUUAAAAAAGAAAAACAACACAGAACAUCCAAUAAAUGUAAUCAUUUCAGAGUGGAGGGAUGCAGUUCUGAAUCUUGCUUUCUUUUACUUCCAAACAUGUGCCUGUAAGAAUUGCUCCACCAGAGGCACUGAAAAUAUAAAUUGUGAGGAAAACUAGGUUUUAUUGAAUGCAAUCUCUUUUGGUGGAUAUGGGUCAAACCAAUCCUCUUAACCUCAUUUUAUCAGAUUGAAAAGGCUUUCCUGCUCCUUAUUGUAUAUUUCAGCUGUGAUGGUGUAUGUGGAUAAAAUACACAGUCUGAGAUUACCUUCAAAGAAUUUCAGGAGCUCGUAGCAUAUUGGCCAGGGCAGUAAUGAUAUAAAAUCCCUUGACUGCUGAAUGGUUAGCAGUGCUCAUUUUGUGCUCCUUUUAAUGUGUCCUUUUUCUUUUGGGCCAGCUGCAGAGGAGUGAUUUGGCAUCUGGCUUAUUAGUUGCAGGAUUUAGGUUAUAGGUUUAAGUUGUUUAUUGGCAACAUCUGGAUUUCAGUAGCCAGCAUCUUCACAUCUUUCGACAGAGAGAUUGUUCCCCAAAGGUGCUCAGUAAUGGUGAUGGUUAUUCUUAUUUCUUUCUUCUUUCUCUCCAUAUCUUCCUUGCAGGCUGGGCCAAUCUAUGUGGAUGGGUAAAAAAUAAACGGAGAACUUUGGGAGCAAUAAAAAGCAAGAGAAUUUUCAGUGCAUUAGGCAAACAGCACACUAGGGUGUGCAUAUAGUUGCAAAUGAGCUUUGGGUUUGAGGUCUCAAGCCAAGCGUGGUUGCAUGGGGUCCUGGUACAUGCCCCUCAGAAUUGCAUUCCCCAUGGUCCUUUCUGGUCUGAGAGCACAAGAAGUAUUCCAGGGCUUUGAAUUGAGAUAUUUAUAUUCAUUCCUCCUGCCCUCUAUGUCUUGGUUUCUGAAGCUUAAUAUUUUAUUGACAAUCUGGUCCUUUGGAUCCUUCCAGAUGAGGUUGGGAACAGUGAUUUUAGAUGAGUUCUACCCAGAGAGAAGUGAGUUCCUCGGGGCAGACUUGGUGUCUUCAGGUGAGCAGUGUGUAUCUAGAUACAUGUCAAUAACAUAGGAGGAGGAGUUAACACUAGGAUAGGAAGAAUGGUGGGCAGAUAUGUUGGAAUUUAGGGAGGAAGGUGGAAUUUAUAUCCUUAUAUAAUGAAACAAGUAGGUGGAGAUUAUCAUCUUGGCCUAUUGUUCCUGCUACAGAUAGGCCCACUGCCAUUUGAGCUGAUCUGGACCAGAGCACAAUUCCAAACCCACAUCUUGAGGCUGUACUGUUCCUUCCUUCAUUCACUUCCUUAUUCAUACAUUCAUUUAUCCAUCUCAUCCAUUUCAUUUAUCCAUCUACUUAUUCAAGAAAUAGUCAUUUAGCACUUAUGUGUAAGAGCUUGAGCCGGACCCUUUUUAUAUAGAGAAAAGAGCCAGUUUCCCCUUCAUACUGUAGUAGGUGAGACAUGGAUCAGUGCUUAUAGUAUAGAGGGGGAUUGUGCUCCAGGUAAGCACAUUUCUGCACAAGAGUAAAUAAGAUGUACAUAUAUAUAUACAGCAGAAUAUUACUCAGCCAUAAAAAGAAUGAAAUAAUGCCAUUUGUGGCAACAUGGAUGAAUUAAUUAGAGAUUAUCAUACUAAGUGAAGUUAGUGAAAGACAAACAUCAUAUGAGGUCACUUAUAUGUGGAAUCUAAAAAAGAAUACAAAUGAACUAAUUUACAGAACAGAAACAGACUCCAAGACUUUGAAAAAUUUAUGGUCACCAAAGGGAACAGGUGGGAUGGGAAGAAUGGCCUGGGGGUUUGGGAUUGGCAUAUGCACACUGAGGUUGUAUGGAAUGAUUGACCAAGGGGUACUUGCUGUAGAGCACAGAGAACUCUAUCCAGUAUUCUGUGAUGAUCUAUGUGGGAAAAGAAUCUGAAAGGAACUGGAUGUGCGUACAUGUAUAACUGAAUCCCUUUGUUGUACAGCAGAAAUGAUCACCACCUUGUAAAUGAACUAUACUUCAAUAAAACUUUUAAAAAUAGAAAAAAAAAAACAAAUACAUCCCACACAGGCCACACAGGGAUGAUGCCUUGCUGAGUCUUAGCAGAUGAGGAAGGGUUAGCGUGGUAAAGGAGGAGGAGAAAGGUCUUCUGGGCAGUGGGGCAGUUUUCCACCAUCUGGUUGAAGAUGCUUUUUUAGAACAUUCUUUCUUUAUCCUCAGACUGACUGGAAGAGACCUGAUAAUCUGGGGUCAAGUUUCCUGCAUGCUCACUGAACUCACCUAAGUUUGAGUCAUUUUUGCUCUGGUGAUUGUUUAACUCUCAGGAAAGUACAUGGAAGCCACUGCUCAGUUGAUUUCAGGGAAGACUGAGAUGUGUGUGCUUUUCUGGAGGUUUUGCUUUUCUUUUUAAGGAACUCAUAGCAGCUUCAUAAUGAAAUGGUUCUGAUUAAAAUCAUCCCUACUAACUGAUAAAAGUGUGAAUAGUCUUUGGGAUUUCAUGCUAUGAUUUAUAUUCAGUGGUGAGACCUGCGGUCAGAAGAUGACUGUUUACUAAGUUGGCUGGAAGGGAACUCUUAAAUAAAUGUUUGAGAAAAUGAGUCAAAUCCACAGGCCUGGCACUAUUCUGUGAAAUGAAGGCCUAGCUUUGAUCCUUUCAGACUGGACUGACAGUGAGUCACAGCAGUGUCUUAUCAUUUAUCCUGCUCCCAAUACACCAUUCCUCCUUUGCUCAGCUGCAAGGCUGUGUUUUCAUUUCUGGCUUUCUCAAGAUGACCGAGAGAGCUGAAGGUAUUACUUGCAGACAACAGAUGCUCUUUCUGACUGUCAGAGAAAUUGCCAAAGGUAAAUGGCCCUUUUCUAAUAUCAGAAGAAAGUACCUGGGCAUUUUUUCCUUCUCUUUCCUGUCAGGUAAAAAAAAAAAAAAUGAUGGCCUGAGGUUGAACCACGGCAACUCCAUCAGGUCUAGGAUCUCAGUGAUGAGGGAAUAGGUUCCUCCUACACCUGAGAUGUGGGUUUCACAAGGUUUGGUAGUAAACACUGAGUGACAAGAGGUGGCAGUUGGGUGACAUGUGCCCUAAGUGAUGCCUGCUCUGAAAAUUCAGAGGUCCUGAUUUUUAAAUAGAGUUAUCUGGUUUAUGACAGGUCUUGAAGAAACUGUCCAGAUCAGAGAAAGCUUUUAAAUGGGUCAGAGGUAGCAGAUGAUAUGCAUGGUGGUGGCUGGAGAAGGCAGUUGAAUCAGCAGAGGAGGAAAUGUUGAGCUUAUGUGGAGAUUGAAUCCAUGACCUUGAUCCCAUUCCUACCAAACUCAGGCACCUGAAGGUCUCAAGGGACUGCAGGUGGGAAAGGUAAAGCAGGGAUAUUAACAUGAAAGUGUGCUCAUGGGCAUCAGAUGGAUCUGGAUUUCAGAUCUGGGUCUCCCACUCAUGAGCUGUGUGGUUUUAGCUGUUCCCUAACCUCUCUGCCCAUUUCCUCUUACAUAAAAUGGAGAGAAUUAAUGUCAGAGCGAAUAGUAAACACUGAGAUGAAAAGAAGGAUUGUCCAAAAAUGACUAGUAAAGUUCUUGGCACUCAAUAAAGGAUAUCUAAAAAUAACAGAAAAAAUUAGCCAGAAAGUGAACAACAUGAAUAACAUAGGGCAGAAGCACGUGUAACUCCUAGGACAAUGGGACACUUUUGUACAGCAAUUGACUACGCAAGUGACCUCUCCACUUCAGAGUCAAUAAUAACAGCAAUAAAAACAGCAAUAACAAUGACAGUUUGGAUCUUAGUAGGCUUCUGAUGUUAUGAAAUGGUGUGACUGACUGCUUGAAUGCUACCUACCACAUCUCUUUUUCCCCACUGGGGCCCUGAACUUGUUGUCUCAUCAGCACCACCUUCCUUCCAAGUCUUGGAAUUUGAAACGUUCUUAUUAGCAGCACGAGGCAAGUGGAUACAAAGUGGAGAGCUUGCGUCUAUAUUCAUCAAAGAUAUGGGCUGAUAGUUUUCUUUUUUGGUGGUAUCUUUGUCUGGUUUUAGAGUUAGGGUGAUGGUGGCAUCAUAGAAUGUCUUUGGAAGUGCUCCUUCUUCUUCAACCUUUUGAAAAAGUUUAAGGAGGAUGGGUACCAGAUCCUCUUUAUAUGUUUGGUAGAAUUCAACUGUGAAAAAGACAAAUACCAUAUGAUAUCACUUAUAACUGGAAUCUAAUAUCCAGCACAAAUGAACAUCUCCACAGAAAAGAAAAUCAUGGACUUGGAAAAUAGACUUGUGGCUGCCUGAUGGGAGAGGGAGGGAGUGGGAGGGAUCCAGAGCUUGGGCUUAUCAGACACAAUUUAGAACAGAUUUACAAGGAGAUCCUGCUGAGUAGCAUUGAGAACUAUGUCUAGAUACUCAUACUGCAACAGAACAAAGGGUGGGGGAAAAAUAAUGUAAUUGUAAUGUAUACAUGUAAGGAUAACUUGAUCCCCUUGCUGUACAGUGG